AUUGAACGCUGGCGGCAGGCCUAACACAUGCAAGUCGAACGAGUGGCGGACGGGUGAGUAAUGUCUGGGAAACUGCCUGAUGGAGGGGGAUAACUACUGGAAACGGUAGCUAAUACCGCAUACCAUCGGAUGUGCCCAGAGGGGAUUAGCUUGUUGGUGGGGUAACGGCUCACCAAGGCGACGAUCCCUAGCUGGUCUGAGAGGAUGAACAGCCAUACGGGAACUGAGACACGGGCCAGACUCCUACGGGAGGUAGCAGGGGGGAAUAUUGCACAAUGGGCGCAAGCCUGAUGCAGCCAUGCCGCGUGUAUGAAGAAGGCCUUCGGGUUGGAAAGUACUUUCAGCGGGGAGGCGUGACCCGCAGAAGAAGCACCGUCUAACUCCGUGCCAGCAGCCGCGGUAAUAC
rnacentral:rRNA from 1 species